rnacentral:lncRNA from 1 species
GAACAAUGUUACAUUGUCCAGGUAAGAUUAAUUGUGGGAUUAAUAUACUUAAUUAUUGGUUUAUUAAUUGUUUGUUACAAUUAAUUACUAAUGUUUACAACAACAGGUAAACAGGCGUGGCCGGAGGUGGUGGGGCAUAGUGGGGAAGAUGCAGCGGCAAAGAUGGAGCGAGAGAAUCAUAAUGUUCGAGCAAUCGUCAUACUGGAAGGAAGGCUCUCCAGCCACCAAGGACUUGAGAUGUGACAGGGUCCGGGUCUGGAUCAAUCGAAACGGCGUCGUCAUUACGCCUCCUCAUGUUGGCUAGCUAUACUUGGCUAGGCCCCAAACUAGUCCUAAAUAAAUAAAGGCCCAGCUGGCUACCUUCCAG